rnacentral:rRNA from 1 species
AUUGAACGCUGGCGGCAGGCCUAACACAUGCAAGUCGAACGGUAGCACAGAGAGCUUGCUCUCGGGUGACGAGUGGCGGACGGGUGAGUAACGUCUGGGAAACUGCCCGAUGGAGGGGGAUAACUACUGGAAACGGUAGCUAAUACCGCAUAACGUCGCAAGAACAAAGUGGGGGACCUUCGGUCCUCACACCAUCGGAUGUGCCCAGAUGGGAUUAGCUAGUAGGUUGGGUAAUGGCUCACCUAGGCGACGAUCCCUAGCUGGUCUGAGAGGAUGACCAGCCACACUGGAACUGAGACACGGUCCAGACUCCUACGGGAGGCAGCAGUGGGGAAUAUUGCACAAUGGGCGCAAGCCUGAUGCAGCCAUGCCGCGUGUAUGAAGAAGGCCUUCGGGUUGUAAAGUACUUUCAGCGGGGAGGAAGGCGGUGAAGUUAAUAGCUUCACCGAUUGACGUUACCCGCAGAAGAAGCACCGGCUAACUCCGUGCCAGCCGCCGCAGUAA